rnacentral:rRNA from 1 species
UACGAAGGGGGCUAGCGUUGUUCGGAAUUACUGGGCGUAAAGCGCGCGCAGGCGGCUAUCCAAGUCAGUGGUGAAAGCCCGGGGCUCAACUCCGGAACUGCCAUUGAAACUGUUUAGCUUGAGGACGAGAGAGGUGAGUGGAAUUCCCAGUGUAGAGGUGAAAUUCGUAGAUAUUGGGAAGAACACCGGUGGCGAAGGCGGCUCACUGGCUCGUAUCUGACGCUCAGGCGCGAUAGCGUGGGGAUCAAACAGG